AAAAAAAUCCGGAAGAAUUACGAAGAAUUUAUAGAGAAAAUAAGAUAUAUUCUUUUAAUUAUUUUAUGAUAUUUUAUAAUAUAAAUUUUUAAUUUUAUUUUUCUAUUUCAUAAAAACUAUGCAUUUAAAUAUUCUAAUUUGCGUUAUAUAAUAAUAGAUUAAAAUUCUUCAGGAAAAAGAAUGAACGAAUUUAUUAUUUCUUUUGAAUCGAAGAAUGGAACAAAAAUAAAAAUAUAAUUUGCAAUAAAUUUAAAAAAAAAUAUGAGCCAUUUGUUAUUUUUCAAUGCGCAAACAUUGUGCGUUUAAAUAAAGAUACUCCAUUGUUAAGAAUGCAAUAUUGGAUGGUAAAUUUGUCAAACAGAGAUUUCUUUCAUUCGUUUGCAUUCCACGAUAAGUACAGUCUAAUCACGCAAUUGUUGUGCAUAGUCUUUUGAUAUUCUUUAAUCGCGACAGCAAUGUAACAAUUUAAGAAAAAAUUUUAUCGAUUAAUCUUUAAAUCAACAAAUAACAAUAACAGUUCUUUCUUUAAUCAAAAUUCCAAUAUUUCAAAAAUUUUGAAGUUCUGUAAUUUUCUUUCAUCAUUUUUCCUUUUUAUAUUAAAAUUUAUUUUUAUCAUAGAUUGUCAUUAUUUGUCAUUAUCAUAAACGAAUUAAAUUUUUAGAAUUUUUAGAAUAUUGUAAUACCAAUAAAAAUAGACAAAUUCUUGAAAGUUCUUUUCAUAUUUAUAAUGAUUUAAAAAAUACAAUAUAAUCAAUUUCAAAGAAUGCAAUUAUUUAUUGACGAAAAUAAAAUCACGAAUGCAAACGUUAAUGCAACAACUAAGGAGAGCAGAAUAACCUUUAUAGAAACUUUCAGUUAGAAAAAUACUUUUACUCUAUAGAACUAGGCGAAGAGACUGCGCGUCCUUGCACUACUCACAGCACUUGGGCCAAUUAAAGCACUCAACAAACUAAUCAAUUGUACAAUAUGUCGUUUGUUAGAUCUUAUAAAAAGAAAUAUGUAACUGCGCUUGGGGACAUUUAAUUCCAACGUGCUAUGAUGCGAUUUUAUCUAUUUAAUUCUUACAAUUUUUAGAAAUCUUGCUUUCUCUUCUGGAUAACUUUUGAUAACUUUCACAGAUAAUUAUAUUUUUCACAUUUUAAUUUUUCUAGAUAUCUCGAUCAAAUUUCAUUAAAAAAAUUAUAUUAUUUAUGGAAAUUUACGGUGUUAAUGUGAUAGUAGGUGUAUUUGAUUUUUACAUUCAGCAAAUAAAGAUCUAGAACCAAUUAUUUAUUCACGUUAUCUCCAUGAAUCGACUAUUGUAAAUUGAUCAGGAAGGCGGCAAAAAGUCGCGGAGGAGAGCAAAUAUUGGAACGUCAUAACUGAUCGAUUGUAUCACCUGUUGAUAAGAAGAAAAUGAUCCGUAACUUCGUGCCAAUCCCUGUGGAACCAAGGAUGAGAGAGACGCGGCAUUUUCUCGAUUAGAAUUCAGUAAAUUGCUCCUCUCAUUCGCGUAUUCCAUAGAAAGCAGGUCAAUGUCAGGAAAUACUCUCAUAUUCUAGUAAUGAUAAUUAUAAUUGGCAGCAGAGGUCGAUAAAGUCAUCAUUAAAACACUAGAUCUUCUUUUCAUCAAUCUCUUUUUACUCGAUGCAGUCUCUUUUCACUUUAAACUUUAUGCAAUUCUUUUAUAUAUGUAUAUAAAAAUUCAUUGUCUUUUAUGAUUAAGCAAUUCAAUAGAUUUCUAUCGAAGCUUAAAAUAUAUUUCAACAAUAUUUAUUAUUAAUUCAUUUGUAUCAAAACUCUCUCUUUCCAAGUUUUUCAUUCAAAUUGAUAAAAAAAACUUAAUGAUUUUUCAUAUGAUGUUUAAAUCACGUGCAAUCUUUUACGAAAUCACGUUUACGAAACAAUUCGCACGAUUUACGAAUUACACAAUCAUAAUUUAUUUCUCGUUAGUACAAUUUAUCACAUCAUCCAGCGAAGUAAUGAUUCUCGAAGCUGUGUAUCUAUACAUCUGCUUCGAAAUAGAAAUUAAAUUUUCAUUCAAUGUAAAAUUAUACUUAUAUUAUAACUUUAAAAAUUAUAUCUAUUUUUAAUAAAAAAUAUUAACAAUAAAUAAAUCAUUAAUAAAAAUAAA